rnacentral:rRNA from 1 species
UACGUAGGGGGCAAGCGUUGUCCGGAAUCAUUGGGCGUAAAGCGCGUGUAGGCGGCUCGAUAAGUCUGCUGUGAAAGUCCAGGGCUCAACCCUGGGAUGCCGGUGGAUACUGUCGAGCUCGAGUCCGGAAGAGGAGUGUGGAAUUCCUGGUGUAGCGGUGAAAUGCGCAGAUAUCAGGAGGAACACCAAUGGCGAAGGCAGCACUCUGGGACGUGACUGACGGCUGAGACGCGAAAGCGUGGGGAGCGAACAGG